rnacentral:ncRNA from 1 species
UCGUUGGAGAGUUUGAUCCUGGCUCAGGACGAACGUUGGCGGCGUGCCUAAUGCAUGCAAGUCGAACGAGGGUCCCAUCUCGGGUAACCGAGGUGGGUCACCUAGUGGCGAACGGGUGAGUAACACGUGAGGAACCUGCCCCGGAGACCGGGAUAGCCCAGGGAAACUUGGAUUAAUACCGGAUGUCCUCGGAUGAUCGCAUGGUCGACCGAGGAAACAGUCCGCUGCUCCGGGAUGGCCUCGCGGCCUAUCAGCUUGUUGGUGAGGUAACGGCUCACCAAGGCUCCGACGGGUAGCUGGUCUGAGAGGACGAUCAGCCACACUGGGACUGAGACACGGCCCAGACUCCUACGGGAGGCAGCA